ACAGCAGUAGCAACCAUCUUUAAUCGUCAAUUUUGUCUUUUUUUACAUUUUUAUAAUUGAUAGUAUUGUUAUUUAAAUCACCUUGACUUUGACUUUAUAGGUGCCAUUUAUUUAACCUGGCUGUGAUGACAUCCUCUGGAAGAACAGCAUGGUGACCCCAACAGGCCUCUCCUGUGCCUUUCAAUACACACAGGAAUGUUGGAUGUUUCACAACAGCUCUGUUAAGGCCAAACACUGACAGCACCCCUUACACUUCCUGAGCCCCGCAGAGAAUCUGAAGCAUUUUAAAAGAUGAGGCACGCAGGCUGUAAAGUCUACUCAGGUGUGGCAUGCGCCCCGGGGCCCCGACGAUGAAGGUUGCGAGAACCAGUACGAAGGCGGGGCCCGAACACCCAGCGCAGACGAAUCUCGGCGAGGACACCAGGGAGAGAGCCGCGAGUGUGGAGGGGGUGGAGCGCAAAGCCGACUCAGGCUUUAGCAGAGCUCUGCAAUACUGAGAUUGUAACUGAUCAUCACACUGAUUUAUCAGUCUACCCUUUAGAGAUUUUCCAUUGAUGGUGUUUCCUUUGAAGAUUGUAUGUUUUUAGUGGGUAGAUAUUCUCCUAAAAGUGUACACAAAAUGUAACUUGGACUGAAUACACAUUUGUAUUGUAUUCUGAAUAUGUAUUCAGCAACUGUAUGACAUACUAUUAUGAAUAACAAGAUGUGACAAUAUCUAAGAGAAGCUUACAGUGUAAGGUGAUCUUACAAUGUUACACUGACUGCAGGUCCUUACCAUGAAACUUAAGCCAGAGCCUGACAGUCAUGAGGAACAGUCUGUAUCUGUCCAUUGCCCAACUGUGUUGUACAAAAGUCAUCUCAGUAGCCCAAUUCUCUGAAACCUCAUUUGUCUUGCUGAAGCAACUAUAUGAACCUGUUGCUUCAACCCAGGGGAAAACCCACACAGGCUUUUUUCCAAUCUGAUAAGAAUCAAAGAUUUGUUAUACCUGACAAAAGAACUAAUUAUGAGUGAGGCAGAGACAAAUUACCGUUGCAAUAGCAUGCAUGUUUCUCCGGUAUUCAGAUGAAGAGAGAGUAAUUCUAGUGAUUUUAGAGGGGGAAUAUGGAGGAAUGUCCUGUGUAAAUAUUGGUGGAGGCCCCUGGAAUGCAAUCUGGACUGGAGCCAGACAGGAAGCCUGGAACAUUUGUUCUUCUGAUCCCAAUUUCCAUGGACAAUCAUGCUGGGAGAUAUUUUGGGAUGUAGUUUCUUGCCAUCGGACCACAGCCACCACAGGGCCAAACAUACAAUAAUAUCAGGCUAGCAUCAGAUCACUGAAGUUGUCAAGCGAUGGUAUCAGCCUGACAACAGCAUUGUAUUAGAACUGAAGGUUUUCUUCAUAGCACUUGGAUGAUAUUGUUCUUUUUGCGCUGGCCAUGAAGAAAGAAGUAAAACUAUUCCCGACUUUGGGCCAAAUGGGCCGCACAUCUUCCUCAUUUUGAUGUUGCUAUGCCAUGACUUCUGGAAUGCAGUAGUGAGGUGAGAUGGUCUGCAGAGCUAUGAAUAUGUGUAACCGAACGCCUCAGAUGCAAUAGUGUCUAGGGCGUUUAGUUGCACAGGCUUUGUUCCUCUUACAAUGUGUGGUGGAAUGCGGACGUGUGUCAAGAGGGUUUAAAAGUGGAAACUUAUAUCAUAUAGACGCUACGUUAGUGUCUAACCUGGAUAUAAAUUACAGUACACCUUUACGGGGAUUACAGCAUGUUCUUGUACACUGGAGUUCUGUACUAACCCAAGAAAAUGUACUGAUAUUUUGAGCUACUGGGCUACUUAGAAGUGCUGAAAGUAAAUGUUGACUUACUGACCUCUAGCUUAAUCCUGCCAUCUAGUGGCAGAAGUAAGAAUGUCAUUCUCUGACAUUUUUAAACGACUC